CAUCGCUCCUUGUAUAAAGUAAAAUAAGGAGUCGGACCUGCCCAGUGAAUUUUUAACGGCCGCGGUACUCUGACCGUGCAAAGGUAGCAUAAUAAUUUGCCUUAUAAUUGAAGGCUAGUAUGAAUGGUUUGACGAGAAUAAACCUGUCUCUUUACAAUUCUAUAAAAAUUUAUUUGUGGAUGAAAAAGUCCACAUAGUAUUAAUAGACAAGAAGACCCUAUCGAGCUUUAAAAAAUCUAGUAGACUAGAAGCUAAUUAUCACUUUAAAAAGUUAUCUACUAAUAAUUUUAGUUGGGGCGACUGAGGAACAAUCAAAGCUUCCUUAAAAUGCAGUUUCUACCUAUAAGUUUUGAUCCAGAAGUAUUCUGAUUAAUGAAAUUAGUUACCGUAGGGAUAACAGCAUUAUCUUUUUUGAGAGCCCUUAUCGAAAAAAAGGUUUGUGACCUCGAUGUUGGACCAGAAUGUCCUAAAGAUGCAGCAGUCUUUGAGGGUUGGUCUGUUCGACCAUUAAUAUUCUACGUGAUCUGAGUUCA
rnacentral:rRNA from 1 species